GAUGAUGAAUUAGGAAUCAGAGCCAAAGGAAGUAUUCAGACGUGAAUCCCUUGAGCCCCUCAAAUACCAAAAUAGUACUAAAGGAUUUACAUGAAAAGGCAACAGUCUUAACUUCUAACUGUAGCCCAACUUCCUGGAGGUAACCAUUCUACACAUCUUAUUUUCCAUUCUCUUGGUGAGCAAUUCUGGGAAUUGCUUUGAUUAACCAACAGGAAGCUUUCAGGCCCGGGAUUUAUGGCCCAGUGCAAGGU
rnacentral:lncRNA from 1 species